rnacentral:tRNA from 1 species
AAAAAACUAGCUCAAUAGGAUAGAGCGUCAGACUGAUAAUCUGAAGGUUGCUGGUUCAAAUCCGGCAUUUCCGU